AUUAAACGCUGGCGGCAUGCCUUACACAUGCAAGUCGAACGGCAGCACGGGGGCAACCCUGGUGGCGAGUGGCGAACGGGUGAGUAAAGCAUCGGAACGUGCCCUGGAGUGGGGGAUAACGUAGCGAAAGUUACGCUAAUACCGCAUAUUCUGUGAGCAGGAAAGCAGGGGAUCGCAAGACCUUGCGCUCUGGGAGCGGCCGAUGUCGGAUUAGCUAGUUGGUGGGGUAAAGGCCUACCAAGGCGACGAUCCGUAGCGGGUCUGAGAGGAUGAUCCGCCACACUGGGACUGAGACACGGCCCAGACUCCUACGGGAGGCAGCAGUGGGGAAUUUUGGACAAUGGGCGAAAGCCUGAUCCAGCCAUGCCGCGUGAGUGAAGAAGGCCUUCGGUUGUAAAGGCUCUUCGGUUGGGGAAGGAAAUUAGCGUAGGUUAAUA
rnacentral:rRNA from 1 species